AAUUCAUCUCCGGGGGUAGAGCACUGUUUCGGCUAGGGGGCCAUCCCGGCUUACCAACCCGAUGCAAACUGCGAAUACCGGAGAAUGUUAUCACGGGAGACACACGGCGGGUGCUAACGUCCGUCGUGAAGAGGGAAACAACCCAGACCGCCAGCUAAGGUCCCAAAGUCAUGGUUAAGUGGGAAACGAUGUGGGAAGGCCCAGACAGCCAGGAUGUUGGCUUAGAAGCAGCCAUCAUUUAAAGAAAGCGUAAUAGCUCACUGGUCGAGUCGGCCUGCGCGGAAGAUGUAACGGGGCUAAACCAUGCACCGAAGCUGCGGCAGCGAACGUAUCACCCAAGACAACUUUACGGAGUUAACGAUUGACGGAGCGAAGCGACGUCAAAGCGUUCAUUAAAGUCGAGUUGGCUUAGGGAUACGUUCGUUGGGUAGGGGAGCGUUCUGUAAGCCUGUGAAGGUGGCCUGUGAGGGUUGCUGGAGGUAUCAGAAGUGCGAAUGCUGACAUAAGUAACGAUAAAGCGGGUGAAAAGCCCGCUCGCCGGAAGACCAAGGGUUCCUGUCCAACGUUAAUCGGGGCAGGGUGAGUCGACCCCUAAGGCGAGGCCGAAAGGCGUAGUCGAUGGGAAACGGGUUAAUAUUCCCGUACUUGGUGUUACUGCGAAGGGGGGACGGAGAAGGCUAUGUUGGCCGGGCGACGGUUGUCCCGGUUUAAGCGUGUAGGUGUGUGUUCCAGGUAAAUCCGGUUCACUUUAACACUGAGGCGUGAUGACGAGGCACUACGGUGCUGAAGCAACAAAUGCCCUGCUUCCAGGAAAAGCCUCUAAGCAUCAGGUAACAUCAAAUCGUACCCCAAACCGACACAGGUGGUCAGGUAGAGAAUACCAAGGCGCUUGAGAGAACUCGGGUGAAGGAACUAGGCAAAAUGGUGCCGUAACUUCGGGAGAAGGCACGCUGACACGUAGGUGAAGUGAUUUACUCAUGGAGCUGAAGUCAGUCGAAGAUACCAGCUGGCUGCAACUGUUUAUUAAAAACACAGCACUGUGCAAACACGAAAGUGGACGUAUACGGUGUGACGCCUGCCCGGUGCCGGAAGGUUAAUUGAUGGGGUCAGCGCAAGCGAAGCUCCUGAUCGAAGCCCCGGUAAACGGCGGCCGUAACUAUAACGGUCCUAAGGUAGCGAAAUUCCUUGUCGGGUAAGUUCCGACCUGCACGAAUGGCGUAAUGAUGGCCAGGCUGUCUCCACCCGAGACUCAGUGAAAUUGAACUCGCUGUGAAGAUGCAGUGUACCCGCGGCAAGACGGAAAGACCCCGUGAACCUUUACUAUAGCUUGACACUGAACAUUGAGCCUUGAUGUGUAGGAUAGGUGGGAGGCUUUGAAGUGUGGACGCCAGUCUGCAUGGAGCCGACCUUGAAAUACCACCCUUUAAUGUUUGAUGUUCUAACGUGGACCCGUGAUCCGGGUUGCGGACAGUGUCUGGUGGGUAGUUUGACUGGGGCGGUCUCCUCCUAAAGAGUAACGGAGGAGCACGAAGGUUGGCUAAUCCUGGUCGGACAUCAGGAGGUUAGUGCAAUGGCAUAAGCCAGCUUGACUGCGAGCGUGACGGCGCGAGCAGGUGCGAAAGCAGGUCAUAGUGAUCCGGUGGUUCUGAAUGGAAGGGCCAUCGCUCAACGGAUAAAAGGUACUCCGGGGAUAACAGGCUGAUACCGCCCAAGAGUUCAUAUCGACGGCGGUGUUUGGCACCUCGAUGUCGGCUCAUCACAUCCUGGGGCUGAAGUAGGUCCCAAGGGUAUGGCUGUUCGCCAUUUAAAGUGGUACGCGAGCUGGGUUUAGAACGUCGUGAGACAGUUCGGUCCCUAUCUGCCGUGGGCGCUGGAGAACUGAGGGGGGCUGCUCCUAGUACGAGAGGACCGGAGUGGACGCAUCACUGGUGUUCGGGUUGUCAUGCCAAUGGCACUGCCCGGUAGCUAAAUGCGGAAGAGAUAAGUGCUGAAAGCAUCUAAGCACGAAACUUGCCCCGA
rnacentral:rRNA from 1 species